rnacentral:rRNA from 1 species
GAUGAACGCUGGCGGCGUGCCUAAUACAUGCAAGUCGAGCGAACAGACGAGGAGCUUGCUCCUCUGACGUUAGCGGCGGACGGGUGAGUAACACGUGGAUAACCUACCUAUACGACUGGGAUAACUUCGGGAAACCGGAGCUAAUACCGGAUAAUAUAUUGAACCGCAUGGUUCAAUAGUGAAAGACGGUUUUGCUGUCACUUAUAGAUGGAUCCGCGCCGCAUUAGCUAGUUGGUAAGGUAACGGCUUACCAAGGCAACGAUGCGUAGCCGACCUGAGAGGGUGAUCGGCCACACUAGGACUGAGACACGGUCCAGACUCCUACAGGAGGCAGCAGUAGGGAAUCUUCCGCAAUGGGCGAAAGCCUGACGGAGCAACGCCGCGUGAGUGAUGAAGGUCUUCGGAUCGUAAAACUCUGUUAUUAGGGAAGAACAAAUAUGUAAGUAACUAUGCACGUCUUGACGGUACCUAAUCAGAAAGCCGCGGCUAACUACGUG